AUGGGCGAAAGCCUGACGCAGCCAUGCCGCGUGAAUGAUGAAGGUCUUAGGAUUGUAAAAUUCUUUCACCGGGGACGAUAAUGACGGUACCCGGAGAAGAAGCCCCGGCUAACUUCGUGCCAGCAGCCGCGGUAAUACGAAGGGGGCUAGCGUUGCUCGGAAUUACUGGGCGUAAAGGGAGCGUAGGCGGACUGUUAAGUUAGAGGUGAAAGCCCAGGGCUCAACCUUGGAAUUGCCUUUGAUACUGGCAGUCUUGAGUACGGAAGAGGUAUGUGGAACUCCGAGUGUAGAGGUGAAAUUCGUAGAUAUUCGGAAGAACACCAGUGGCGAAGGCGACAUACUGGUCCGUUACUGACGCUGAGGCUCGAAAGCGUGGGGAGCAAACAGGAUUAGAUACCCUGGUAGUCCACGCCGUAAACGAUGAGUGCUAGUUGUCGGCAUGCAUGCAUGUCGGUGACGCAGCUAACGCAUUAAGCACUCCGCCUGG
rnacentral:rRNA from 1 species